CUGAGGGUUAAACAAGAGAGCUAAUGUCAUGGUGAAUCACCAGAUCUGAGGGUUAAACAAGAGAGCUAAUGUCAUGGUGAAUCACCAGAUCUGAAGGUUAAACAAGAGAGCUAAUGUCAUGGUGAAUCACCAGACCUGAGGGUUGAACAAGAGAGCUAAUGUCAUGGUGAAUCACCAGAUCUGAGGGUUAAACAAGAGAGCUAAUGUCAUGGUGAAUCACCAGAUCUGAAGGUUGAACAAGAGAGCUAAUGUCAUGGUGAAUCACCAGACCUGAAGGUUAAACAAGGGAGCUAAUGUCAUGGUGAAUCACCAGAUCUGAAGGUUAAACAAGAGAGCUAAUGUCAUGGUGAAUCACCAGAUCUGAGGGUUAAACAAGAGAGCUAAUGUCAUGGUGAAUCACCAGAUCUGAGGGUUAAACAAGAGAGCUAAUGUCAUGGUGAAUCACCAGAUCUGAGGGUUGAACAAGAGAGCUAAUGUCAUGGUGAAUCACCAGAUCUGAGGGUUGAACAAGAGAGCUAAUGUCAUGGUGAAUCACCAGAUCUGAGGGUUAAACAAGAGAGCUAAUGUCAUGGUGAAUCACCAGAUCUGAGGGUUAAACAAGAGAGCUAAUGUCAUGGUGAAUCACCAGAUCUGAAGGUUUAACAAGAGAGCUAAUGUCAUGGUGAAUCACCAGACCUGAAGGUUAAACAAGGGAGCUAAUGUCAUGGUGAAUCACCAGAUCUGAAGGUUUAACAAGAGAGCUAAUGUCAUGGUGAAUCACCAGAUCUGAAGGUUAAACAAGAGAGCUAAUGUCAUGGUGAAUCACCAGAUCUGAAGGUUUAACAAGAGAGCUAAUGUCUUGGUGAAUCACCAGACCUGAAGGUUAAACAAGGGAGCUAAUGUCAUGGUGAAUCACCAGAUCUGAAGGUUUAACAAGAGAGCUAAUGUCAUGGUGAAUCACCAGAUCUGAAGGUUUAACAAGAGAGCUAAUGUCAUGGUGAAUCACCAGAUCUGAGGGUUAAACAAGAGAGCUAAUGUCUUGGUGAAUCACCAGAUCUGAGGGUUAAACAAGAGAGCUAAUGCCAUGGUGAAUCAUCCAUCGGUCUGAUGUCCAUCAUCCAUCUAGUGUCAAUUGCCCCAUAAUGCUUGGAAAAAGAACUUACCUUGACCUAUAUUUAAAGCCAAAAGGGUCACAUUUGUUCAAACUUUUAAAUGACUUUUUCUGGUUAAUCAAAGGCCCAGAAGCAUGAUUAUACAUUGCUGAUACAAUGAAACGUUAUGAAGUUUGCAAACACAAAUGACCUUGACCUAUAUUUAAGGUCAAAGGGAUCAAAUGUGUUGAAAUAUCUUCACAACUUAUUCCCAAAUCAGUGAAAAAAAGGCCGGAGUAUUUGACUGGUGGGUUUCUGGGAUAGAGGCCCACAAGGUUUGCAAAAGGAAAUGCCCUUGACCAAUAUUCACUGUCACAGCGGUUCAAUUUAUCCAAACAUUCAAACAACUUUUCUCACAAACCGAAAAGCCUUAAUCAUGAUAUUUGACUGGUAGGUUCCUAGAUUGCAGCUAAACAAAAUUUGCGAAAAGAAAUUACCUUGACUCAUAUUCAAGGUCGCAGGAGUAAAAUUUGUUAAACCUUUAAAUUUCUUCCUUCCGCAAAAAGUCCUAGAAUUAUAUUUGGCAGGUAGGAUCCUUGGAAGGAGCCUACAGCGUUUGCCUAAAGAAAUGCCUUGAACUAUAUUUAAGGUCACAGAGGUCAAAUUUGUUGAAACAUAUAAAGGACUCCAAUCAAGUUCUUUUGAUUAAAUGAAAGAGAUUAAUGAAACAAGUGAAUACCAGGUGGGCGAUGUAGACCCUUUGAGACCCAUUGAGACCCUUUAAGACCUAAUGAGACCCUAUGAGACCCAUUGAGACCCAUUGAGACCCAAUAAGACCCUUUGAGACCCAUUGAGACCCUUAAAGACUCUUUGAGACCAAUUGCGACUCAUUGAGACCCUUUGAGACCCAUUGAGACACUUUGAGACCCAUUGAGACCAAUUGAAACCCUUUGAGACCAAUUGGGCCCAUUGAGACCCUUUGAGACCCGUUGAGACCCAUAGAGACCCAUGCCUGUUAGACACAUUUUGUACGUGAAUCUCAACUUGAAAUUUCAGUUUUCAAAGAAAAGGAGACAUUGUAGUUUCUUCAAUAUAUUUAAUUGGCUCUGAAAUGAUACUGUUUGUAAACAAAACAAAAAAAUGUAAACAAUAAAGCAAGGACAUAAUUGAAA